AAUGUUAUUAUAUAUGCCAUAAAUCUAUGCAUGCAUAAUUAAAAAUUGGCUUAUUCCUGUAAAGAAGGGGUGUGGCAGGGUAACAGCAGCUCAACUAUUUUUCAGGGCAAGUGAUGUCAUUGAGAGCCCACAUUCUAUUUCCACCAAACAGGGCUGGAAGACAUGACAUUCUGCCCUGGUCCUGAAAUGGACACCAAGCUCUUCUAUGUGGCCUUCAGCCUCAUGUGGGCAGGACACAUGGAGGCUACAAUCACUCAAAGUCCAAGAUACAAAGUCACAGAGACGGGAGGAAAGGUGACUUUGAGCUGCCACCAGACAGACAAUCAUGACUGUAUGUACUGGUAUCGACAAAACCCUGGACAUGGACUGAAGCUGAUCCAUUAUUCAUUUGCUGUGAACAGCACUGAAAAAGGAGACGUCCCUGAUGGUUACAGUGUCUCCAGAUUAAAGAAAAAGGACUUCCCCCUCUCUCUUGAGUCUGCCACCCACUCCCAGACAUCUGUGUACUUUUGUGCCAGCAGUUUCUCCACAGUGUUGCAAAGCUGCCUCUUCUGUGUGCAUGUAUUGUAA